rnacentral:rRNA from 1 species
AACGAACGCUGGCGGCAGGCUUAACACAUGCAAGUCGAGCGAGACCUUCGGGUCUAGCGGCGGACGGGUGAGUAACGCGUGGGAACGUGCCCUUCUCUACGGAAUAGCCCCGGGAAACGGGGAGUAAUACCGGAUACUCCCUUCGGGCGAAAGAUUUAUCGGAUAAGGAUCGGCCCGCGUUGGAUUAGGUAGUUGGUGGGGUAAUGGCCCACCAAGCCGACGAUCCAUAGCUGGUUUGAGAGGAUGAUCAGCCACACUGGGACUGAGACACGGCCCAGACUCCUACGGGAGGCAGCAGUGGGGAAUAUUGGACAAUGGGGGCAAGCCUGAUCUAGCCAUGCCGCGUGAGUGAUGAAGGCCUUAGGGUUGUAAAGCUCUUUUAGCUGGGAAGAUAAUGACGGUACCAGGAGAAGAAGCCCCGGCUAACUCCGUG